AGAGUUUGAUCCUGGCUCAGAUUGAACGCUGGCGGCAUGCUUUACACAUGCAAGUCGAACGGCAGCACAGGGAGCUUGCUCCCGGGUGGCGAGUGGCGCACGGGUGAGUAAUACAUCGGAACGUGUCCUGUUGUGGGGGAUAACUGCUCGAAAGGGUGGCUAAUACCGCAUGAGACCUGAGGGUGAAAGCGGGGGAUCGCAAGACCUCGCGCAAUUGGAGCGGCCGAUGCCCGAUUAGCUAGUUGGUGAGGUAAAGGCUCACCAAGGCGACGAUCGGUAGCUGGUCUGAGAGGACGACCAGCCACACUGGGACUGAGACACGGCCCAGACUCCUACGGGAGGCAGCAGUGGGGAAUUUUGGACAAUGGGGGCAACCCUGAUCCAGCCAUGCCGCGUGCAGGAUGAAGGCCUUCGGGUUGUAAACUGCUUUUGUCAGGGACGAAAAGGACCGUGUUAAUACCAUGGUCUGCUGACGGUACCUGAAGAAUAAGCACCGGCUAACUACGUGCCAGCAGCCGCGGUAAUACGUAGGGUGCAAGCGUUAUCCGGAAUUAUUGGGCGUAAAGGGCUCGUAGGCGGUUCGUCGCGUCCGGUGUGAAAGUCCAUCGCUUAACGGUGGAUCCGCGCCGGGUACGGGCGGGCUUGAGUGCGGUAGGGGAGACUGGAAUUCCCGGUGUAACGGUGGAAUGUGUAGAUAUCGGGAAGAACACCAAUGGCGAAGGCAGGUCUCUGGGCCGUCACUGACGCUGAGGAGCGAAAGCGUGGGGAGCGAACAGGAUUAGAUACCCUGGUAGUCCACGCCGUAAACGGUGGAUGCUGGAUGUGGGGACCAUUCCACGGUCUCCGUGUCGGAGCCAACGCGUUAAGCAUCCCGCCUGGGGAGUACGGCCGCAAGGCUAAAACUCAAAGAAAUUGACGGGGGCCCGCACAAGCGGCGGAGCAUGCGGAUUAAUUCGAUGCAACGCGAAGAACCUUACCUGGGCUUGACAUGUUCCCGACGACGCCAGAGAUGGCGUUUCCCUUCGGGGCGGGUUCACAGGUGGUGCAUGGUCGUCGUCAGCUCGUGUCGUGAGAUGUUGGGUUAAGUCCCGCAACGAGCGCAACCCUCGCCCUGUGUUGCCAGCACGUCGUGGUGGGAACUCACGGGGGACCGCCGGGGUCAACUCGGAGGAAGGUGGGGAUGACGUCAGAUCAUCAUGCCCCUUACGUCCAGGGCUUCACGCAUGCUACAAUGGCCGGUACAACGGGAUGCGACACCGCGAGGUGGAGCGGAUCCCUUAAAACCGGUCUCAGUUCGGAUUGGAGUCUGCAACCCGACUCCAUGAAGGCGGAGUCGCUAGUAAUCGCGGAUCAGCAACGCCGCGGUGAAUGCGUUCCCGGGCCUUGUACACACCGCCCGUCAAGUCAUGAAAGUGGGUAGCACCCGAAGCCGGUGGCCCAACCUUUUGGGGGGAGCCGUCUAAGGUGAGACUCGUGAUUGGGACUAAGUCGUAACAAGGUAGCCGUACCGGAAGGUGCGGCUG
rnacentral:rRNA from 1 species